rnacentral:rRNA from 1 species
GAUGAACGCUGGCGGCGUGCUUAACACAUGCAAGUCGAACGAUGAAGCCCAGCUUGCUGGGUGGAUUAGUGGCGAACGGGUGAGUAACACGUGAGUAACCUGCCCUUAACUCUGGGAUAAGCCUGGGAAACUGGGUCUAAUACCGGAUAGGAGCGUCCACCGCAUGGUGGGUGUUGGAAAGAUUUAUCGGUUUUGGAUGGACUCGCGGCCUAUCAGCUUGUUGGUGAGGUAAUGGCUCACCAAGGCGACGACGGGUAGCCGGCCUGAGGGGGUGACCGGCCACACUGGGACUGAGACACGGCCCAGACUCCUACGGGAGGCAGCAGUGGGGAAUAUUGCACAAUGGGCGAAAGCCUGAUGCAGCGACGCCGCGUGAGGGAUGACGGCCUUCGGGUUGUAAACCUCUUUCAGUAGGGAAGAAGCGAAAGUGACGGUACCUGCAGAAGAAGCACCGGCUAACUACGUG